rnacentral:rRNA from 1 species
UCCUACGGGAGGCAGCAGUGGGGAAUAUUGCACAAUGGGCGCAAGCCUGAUGCAGCAACGCCGCGUGAGGGACGAAGGCCUUCGGGUUGUAAACCUCUUUUAGUAGGGAAGAAGCGGCUGGGUUUUCCUGGGAGUGACGGUACCUGCAGAAAAAGCACCGGCUAACUACGUGCCAGCAGCCGCGGUAAUACGUAGGGUGCAAGCGUUGUCCGGAAUUAUUGGGCGUAAAGAGCUCGUAGGCGGUUUGUCGCGUCUGCUGUGAAAACCCGAGGCUCAACCUCGGGCCUGCAGUGGGUACGGGCAGACUAGAGUGCGGUAGGGGAGAUUGGAAUUCCUGGUGUAGCGGUGGAAUGCGCAGAUAUCAGGAGGAACACCAAUGGCGAAGGCAGAUCUCUGGGCCGUAACUGACGCUGAGGAGCGAAAGCAUGGGGAGCGAACAGGAUUAGAUACCCUGGUAGUCCAUGCCGUAAACGUUGGGAACUAGAUGUGGGGACCAUUCCACGGUCUCCGUGUCGCAGCUAACGCAUUAAGUUCCCCGCCUGGGGAGUACGGCCGCAAGGCUAAAACUCAAAGGAAUUGACGGGGGCCCGCACAAGCGGCGGAGCAUGCGGAUUAAUUCGAUGCAACGCGAAGAACCUUACCAAGGCUUGACAUAUACCGGAAACGGCUGGAAACAGUCGCCCCGCAAGGUCGGUAUACAGGUGGUGCAUGGUUGUCGUCAGCUCGUGUCGUGAGAUGUUGGGUUAAGUCCCGCAACGAGCGCAACCCUCGUCCUAUGUUGCCAGCACGUAAUGGUGGGAACUCAUGGGAUACUGCCGGGGUCAACUCGGAGGAAGGUGGGGAUGACGUCAAAUCAUCAUGCCCCUUAUGUCUUGGGCUUCACGCAUGCUGCAAUGGCCGGUACAAAGGGCUGCGAUACCGCAAGGUGGAGCGAAUCCCAAAAAGCCGGUCUCAGUUCGGAUUGAGGUCUGCAACUCGACCUCAUGAAGUCGGAGUCGCUAGUAAUCGCAGAUCAGCAACGCUGCGGUGAAUACGUUCCCGGGCCUUGUACACACCGCC